rnacentral:rRNA from 1 species
GAGGGAAUAUUGCGCAAUGGGCGAAAGCCUGACGCAGCGACGCCGCGUUAGCGAUGAAGGUCUUCGGAUCGUAAAGCUAUGUCACAGAGGAGGAUGUCCGCCAUUAAAGUGGCGGAUGACAGUACUCUGGGAGGAAGCCACGGCUAACUCCGUGCCAGCAGCCGCGGUAAUACGGAGGUGGCGAGCGUUACUCGGAUUCAUUGGGCGUAAAGGGCGUGUAGGCGUUUCGAUAAGCUUUGGGUGAAAUACUCCGACUCAAUCGGAGAACUGCCUAAAAGACUGUCGAGAUUGAGGCUAGGAGAGGAGAGUGGAAUUCCCGGUGUAAGGGUAAAAUCUGCAGAUAUCGGGAGGAACACCUGUGGCGAAGGCGGCUCUCUGGACUAGUACUGACGCUGAGGCGCGAAAGCUAGGGGAGCAAACAGG